ensembl:lncRNA
UGCAUUAAUAAUAAAAUCUGGAGGUUCUUGAUUCAGGGGUAGAACAGUGUGUGUCUUUCAGAAAGGCUAAAAGUCACAGGCUGACAGGAAACAGGCUUGCAGAGAGUUUGCACAAGCAGGAAGUUAUUUUAAGCAACAGUAUGAUCAUUGCUUUAACAAUGUAACAGAUAGCUUUAAGAAGGCCUUAAGAUGCUUAUGCACACAGUUAUUAUGUUUAGUAGAGGUUCCUGAUUAAAACAUUUAUUUAGUAGAAGACAUACACAUAGUCUCAGUGAGCUUCUGGUCUGGUAAAAGGUCAGAAGUGCAACAGGUGAAUUGAGAAAGAGCAUUUGAGGACGAGACACAGACAGUAGGUGAAGAGGUGACACAAAGAGCAUGUGAGGUCGUGACACACACACAUAGAGUUAAAUUUAUUCAGAGGAACCGUUUCUUGUUGUCUCGGCAAGAAAGAGGAACAAUUCAUUUUAAGAUAAGAACGGAAAGUACCAAGCCAUGAAAAUAGAAGAUGGUUUUCUGGGUGAAAAGUCAUAUCCAUAGUUUCAGUUCGAUUAUUACAUAUACGAGAGUGGUUUCUGUCUCUCUGUCUGGUGAGGGGUCAGGAGCUAGUCGCGAGGUGAAACAGGGUGCAAUUGUGGUUAGCACACAGACGCACACACACACACACUCAGUUAGAGAAUCAUUUAUAGGUGAAAGUUUAAUCAUGUUUUGCUGAUGUUGCAAAGAGCAGUUUGUCGCAGAACUGCUGCGAGCAUCCGGCAGUGACAGGAAGCACCUGUUGUGAAGAUAGGAGACAAUUGUUCUUUUAAACUGUGUCAAAAUCGUUGUGGUUUUGAUUUGAUCUAUGUAUAAAAUGUGUCUGUGACGUAUGAAGGGGCGUCAGUAAACAAACCCUGAUGCUAUAAAAUAUCUGUUCAUGCUUUGAUUGAGUCGAGGACUACUGGCUGUCUGCGUACAGAGUGUCCUCCCACGCGUGUAUUCAUU